GAUGAAGAACGUAGCUAAAUGCGAUAAGUAAUGUGAAUUGCAGAAUUCAGUGAAUCAUCGAAUCUUUGAACGCACAUUGCGCCCAUUAGCAUUCUAGUGGGCAUGCCUGUUCGAGCGUCAUUUCAACCCUUAAGCCCUGUUGCUUAGCGUUGGGAGCCUACAGUACUGUAGCUCCCCAAAGUUAGUGGCGGAGUCGGUUUCACACUCUAGACGUAGUAAAUUUUUCUCGUCUGUAGUUGAGCCGGUCCCCUGCCGUAAAACACCCAAUUUAUCAAGGUUGACCUCGGAUCAGGUAGGAAUACCCGCUGAACUUAAGCAUAUCAAUAAGCGGAGGA
rnacentral:misc_RNA from 1 species